rnacentral:misc_RNA from 1 species
GUCGCGCCUGCGUAGGAUAGGUGGGAGCCUGUGAACCCCCGCCUCCGGGUGGGGGGGAGGCGCCGGUGAAAUACCACCCUGGCGCGG